GAUGAACGCUGGCGGCGUGCCUAAUACAUGCAAGUCGAGCGAACGGACGAGAAGCUUGCUUCUCUGAUGUUAGCGGCGGACGGGUGAGUAACACGUGGAUAACCUACCUAUAAGACUGGGAUAACUUCGGGAAACCGGAGCUAAUACCGGAUAAUAUUUUGAACCGCAUGGUUCAAAAGUGAAAGACGGUCUUGCUGUCACUUAUAGAUGGAUCCGCGCUGCAUUAGCUAGUUGGUAAGGUAACGGCUUACCAAGGCAACGAUGCAUAGCCGACCUGAGAGGGUGAUCGGCCACACUGGGACUGAGACACGGUCCAGACUCCUACGGGAGGCAGCAGUAGGGAAUCUUCCGCAAUGGGCGAAAGCCUGACGGAGCAACGCCGCGUGAGUGAUGAAGGUCUUCGGAUCGUAAAACUCUGUUAUUAGGGAAGAACAUAUGUGUAAGUAACUGUGCACAUCUUGACGGUACCUAAUCAGAAAGCCACGGCUAACUACGUACCAGCAGCCGCGGUAAUACGUAGGUGGCAAGCGUUAUCCGGAAUUAUUGGGCGUAAAGCGCGCGUAGACGGUUUUUUAAGUCUGAUGUGAAAGCCCACGGCUCAACCGUGGAGGGUCAUUGGAAACUGGAAAACUUGAGUGCAGAAGAGGAAAGUGGAAUUCCAUGUGUAGCGGUGAAAUGCGCAGAGAUAUGGAGGAACACCAGUGGCGAAGGCGACUUUCUGGUCUGUAACUGACGCUGAUGUGCGAAAGCGUGGGGAUCAAACAGGAUUAGAUACCCUGGUAGUCCACGCCGUAAACGAUGAGUGCUAAGUGUUAGGGGGUUUCCGCCCCUUAGUGCUGCAGCUAACGCAUUAAGCACUCCGCCUGGGGAGUACGACCGCAAGGUUGAAACUCAAAGGAAUUGACGGGGACCCGCACAAGCGGUGGAGCAUGUGGUUUAAUUCGAAGCAACGCGAAGAACCUUACCAAAUCUUGACAUCCUUUGACAACUCUAGAGAUAGAGCCUUCCCCUUCGGGGGACAAAGUGACAGGUGGUGCAUGGUUGUCGUCAGCUCGUGUCGUGAGAUGUUGGGUUAAGUCCCGCAACGAGCGCAACCCUUAAGCUUAGUUGCCAUCAUUAAGUUGGGCACUCUAAGUUGACUGCCGGUGACAAACCGGAGGAAGGUGGGGAUGACGUCAAAUCAUCAUGCCCCUUAUGAUUUGGGCUACACACGUGCUACAAUGGACAAUACAAAGGGCAGCGAAACCGCGAGGUCAAGCAAAUCCCAUAAAGUUGUUCUCAGUUCGGAUUGUAGUCUGCAACUCGACUACAUGAAGCUGGAAUCGCUAGUAAUCGUAGAUCAGCAUGCUACGGUGAAUACGUUCCCGGGUCU
rnacentral:rRNA from 1 species